UGUAUCUCACCCGUUAUGCGAUCAGACCAUGAUUUCUGCUUGUCUUCAUGCUGUAUCUGAAAUUGCAGAGUCCAUGAAACAGUCACACUAUGUUUUGUUGCUCUGUUCCUUCAAAGAACAACUCCCAACAUGUUUGUGUCCAUGCAAUGGAAGCAGUAAUGGCUUGCUGGGAGAUUGAGCAAUCCUUACAAAGUCUAACAGGAAAAAGUUGGGCGUGAAAAUAAGUACUCUAGAAGCAAGACAAAAGAAGGAUUGGAGUGAGGACAGAAAUUAUCAUGACAAAGUGCACCAAAAGCUAUGAUGAAAAUUUUAUGUAUUAAGAGCUACAUGUUAAGAUAUUUAUAAUUAAAAAAUUAUAUUAUGUUAGAUACUUUAUUUGUAUAGGGGUUAUUACUUUUGAUUUUUAAUACUAAAAAAUAAUAUAUUAUGUUUAAUA